UUGUAAAACAAUGAGCUGGGACCCUCCGCACUGAUUAACCAGUUGCUGAGGUGACCACCAAACAUGUCCAAUGUCAACCCCACCCUGCUUUCUCGCAAUAAAUGCUCUCUUGCAAGAAUCCAAAGUCAGACCUCAUUCGAUCAUCGCUGUACGCACAGCGACAAAUGACUCUCCACUUGCAAGUGCUCAAAAAGGG